UAACGGCGGUGUGUUUUAUUUCAUUUUACCAAACUAACAACAAAUAUGAAUUCGUGGGAAUUACGUGUCGCGAACGCAGUGUGUUUCGGUUUUUGUUUUUAUUGUUUUUUAUUGUUUCUAUUUAUUCAUCAAUUACCAACACGCAUUCUAUGUAAUUGGAAGUGUCAUCUCAUACGAGAUAUUUAAAUAAAAUGUUCUGAGGAGGGCCCCCACCAGGGCCAAAACGUUAACACGAUGAAAAAGUGUUUUGAGUUGUGACCUUCAUAUCAAAGAAUAACAUUAAUC
rnacentral:lncRNA from 1 species